rnacentral:rRNA from 1 species
UACGGAGGAUGCAAGCGUUAUCCGGAAUGAUUGGGCGUAAAGCGUCCGCAGGUGGCGAUUCAAGUCUGCGGUCAAAGACUGGGGCUUAACCCUGGAAAGGCCGUGGAAACUGAAUAGCUAGAGUGCAGUAGGGGUAGAGGGAAUUCCCGGUGUAGCGGUGAAAUGCGUAGAGCUCGGGAAGAACAUCGGUGGCGAAAGCGCUCUGCUGGACUGCAACUGACACUCAGGGACGAAAGCUAGGGGAGCGAAUGGG